rnacentral:rRNA from 1 species
CGGCGAGUGAAGCGGCAAGAGCUCAAAUUUGAAAUCUGGUCCUUUCAGGGCCCGAGUUGUAAUUUGCAGAGGAUGCUUUGGGUGCGGCCGCGGCAUAAGUCCCCUGGAACGGGGCGUCGCAGAGGGUGAGAAUCCCGUCUUGAGUCGCCGGUUCGCGCCCGUGUAAAGCUCCUUCGACGAGUCGAGUUGUUUGGGAAUGCAGCUCUAAAUGGGUGGUAAAUUUCAUCUAAAGCUAAAUAUUGGCUGGAGACCGAUAGCGCACAAGUAGAGUGAUCGAAAGGUUAAAAGCACCUUGAAAAGGGAGUUAAAUAGCACGUGAAAUUGUUGAAAGGGAACCGCUUGCAGUCAGACUCGGCCGCGGAGGCUCAACGGGCACUUGUGCCCGUGCACUCCUCCGUGGCCGGGCCAGCAUCAGUUCUGGCGACCGGUCAAAGGCCCCUGGAAUGUGUCGUCCUCCGGGACGUCUUAUAGCCAGGGGUGCAAUGCGGCCAGCCGGGACUGAGGAACGCGCU